rnacentral:rRNA from 1 species
UACGUAGGGGGCUAGCGUUGUCCGGAAUCAUUGGGCGUAAAGAGCGUGUAGGCGGCCCGGUAAGUCCGCUGUGAAAGUCGGGGGCUCAACCCUCGGAUGCCGAUCGAUACUGUCGGGCUAGAGUCCGGAAGAGGCGAGUGGAAUUCCUGGUGUAGCGGUGAAAUGCACAGAUAUCAGGAGGACACCAAUGGCGAAGGCAGCUCGCUGGGACGGUACUGACGCUGAGGCGCGAAAGCGUGGGGAGCAAACAGG